rnacentral:RNase_P_RNA from 1 species
CGAGCAGAUGGCCUUAUCGUUCCGUCUCGAUAGCUAUCGGGAUUCGGGAAGGAAAGUCCGGACACCACAGAGAAGCAUAGCGGCUAACGGCCGUCUGCCGUGAGGUAAGGACAAGUGCAACAGAAAGAAUGUACAGGUAAUGCUGUAGUGAAAUCAGGUAAACUCUAUGCGGUGAAAUGUCAUGUAAACCAACGUUUGAGGUUGCUCGACCGAUGUUGGAGGGUAGACAGCUAAAGGUUUUUGGCAACAAAAACCGUAGAUAAAUGAUAAGGGUUUUCGCAAGAAAAUACAGAAUCCGGCUUAUACAUCUGCUCUUUUU